AACCUCUGUAGUGCAUCCAUGGCACAAGUCGGGGAGACCGAAGAGGCCCUGAGACACCUGCCUCCGCCAGCACUGCAGCCUAGACAGCAGUGUGGACGGGUUCCCAGCACCUCACUGAGCUGGUUCACUCUCCUUUCUGGGAUUGGUCACUGCUCUGUCAGCCAGGUGCUGGCGUGCACUUGGUCUUGGCUUAGGGUGCAAAUCUCGGGUGAUGCGGGCAGAGUCUUGGCUUGAGCCACAGAAAGGAAGCGGCAGGCUGGCGGUCAGUGCACCUACCAGCUCCCUGCUCUGCCAAACGGCCUCGUGACAAACCAAGCAUGGUGGUGCAGCCCUGUCCUUGGGAGGCUGAGGCAGGAGGGUUGCUGUGAGUUCAAGGCCGGCCUGAACUACAUAACAAGACUCUGUUUCUAAAAUAAAAUAGCCUUACGAUUUCCAACUUGUGGGGGAAGGGAAGUGAAAAGGGUUGAGACGUGUUGUGUAUAUGCUCCAGCUGCCCAUGCUGGGUAUAAUCAUUGUGUGUUGCAAACGUGCACUGGUAAAAAUAAGAGAAUGAAAUCCGACGCGCUGGCAUCUACACUGCCCGCCCAGGCCAGCUCAUGAGAAGGCAGGCGCGUGUGGGACCCUCAGGGCUCACGCCUACUGGCGCCUAACAAAUGCCGAGCCCCUUUCUGUCCUCCCGGCCCAUGUGGGUUGAUGCUAUUACCGGGCCCAUUUUACAGAGGGGCUCACUGACCCCAGUGGUGGAACGCUGUGCACCAGGCUGAGUCUGCCCAGACCCAGGCUCAAAGGCAGUGUUGCUCUCCUGGCCUGGGCAGCCUCUGUCACCCGGAAGCUGUCAUUGCCUCGUGAGCUCCUGACCUCGGAGCCCUUUUCCAGAGGGGCAGCCGGCGAGGGGGCAGACCCGGGGAGCCCAGCCACCUCUCCCUUCCCACGAUCACCAAGGCAACAACCACCUGAAGCGAUUGCCAUGGAAACUGUUUAAACACUCUCUCCCUCUCGCCUUCACCUUGGAGACGGCCAAUGGGAAAGGAGUUUCUUGCGUGGGCAGAGGUGGAGGGGCCAGGGAGAGGUGCACUCGUGCCUGGCUGGGGCCGUGUCCUCACCACAGAAAUGCCCAAAAGGUUUGAGUCUCCCCGGGAAAUCUGCUAGGUCAGCCUUUUCUUUUCCCAAAUACUAGGGAACCAAACCCAAGGAUGCUUUACCACUAAGCUGCAUCCCUAUCCCUUUUUAACACUCGUAAAAAAUUUUUCCAAACAG
rnacentral:lncRNA from 1 species